rnacentral:rRNA from 1 species
AAUGAACGUUGGCGGCGUGGAUUAGGCAUGCAAGUCGAGCGAGAAGUCUCCUUCGGGAGACGGAAAGCGGCGAAAGGGAGAGUAACGCGUGGAUUAUCUACCCUCGGAUCCGGGAUAGCCGCGGGAAACUGCGGGUAAUACCGGAUAACGUCUCCGGACCAAAGGUGUGAUUCCGUCCGAGGAUGAGUCCGCGUCCUAUUAGCUUGUUGGUGGGGUAAUGGCCUACCAAGGCAAUGAUGGGUACUGGGUGUGAGAGCACGACCCAGCUCACUGGGACUGAGACACUGCCCAGACACCUACGGGUGGCUGCAGUCGAGAAUCUUCGGCAAUGGGCGCAAGCCUGACCGAGCGACGCCGCGUGCGGGAUGAAGGCCUUCGGGUUGUAAACCGCUGUCAGAGGGGACGAAAUAUCACGGGGUUCUCCCCGUGGUUUGACCGAUCCUCAGAGGAAGUACGGGCUAAGUUCGUGCCAGCAGCCGCAGAGUAAGAC